AUGGACUGGAGCUGGAGAAUCAUCUUAUUUGUCACAGCAGCUGCAGGUGUCCACUCCCAGGUACAAUUGGUGCAGUCUGGACCUGAGAUGUCCAAGCCUGGGGCAUCAGUGAAAAUCUCUUGCAAGACUUCUGGAUACACCUUCACAUACUAUGCUUUGCAUUGGGUCCAGAAAACUCCUGGAAAAAGGUUAGAGUGGAUAGGAUAUGUUUAUCCUAGUGAUGGUGGAACAAGCUAUGCACAAAAGUUCCAGGGCAGAGUCACCAUGACCAGAGACACAUCCACAAGCACCGGCUACAUGGAGCUGAGAAAUCUGAGCCCUGAUGACACGGCCACCUAUUUCUGUACAGUAGACACAGUGUGA